AUUGAACGCUGGCGGCAGGCUUAACACAUGCAAGUCGAGCGGGGGAAGGUAGCUUGCUACCGGACCUAGCGGCGGACGGGUGAGUAAUGCUUAGGAAUCCGCCUAUUAGUGGGGGACAACAUCUCGAAAGGGAUGCUAAUACCGCGUACGUCCUACGGGAGAAAGCAGGGGAUCUUCGGACCUUGCGCUAAUAGAUGAGCCUAAGUCGGAUUAGCUAGUUGGUGGGGUAAAGGCCUACCAAGGCGACGAUCUGUAGCGGGUCUGAGAGGAUGAUCCGCCACACUGGGACUGAGACACGGCCCAGACUCCUACGGGAGGCAGCAGUGGGGAAUAUUGGACAAUGGGGGGAACCCUGAUCCAGCCAUGCCGCGUGUGUGAAGAAGGCCUUAUGGUUGUAAAGCACUUUAAGCGAGGAGGAGGCUACUCUAGUUAAUACCUAGGGAUAGUGGACGUUACUCGCAGAAUAAGCACCGGCUAACUCUGUGCCAGCCGCCGCAGUAA
rnacentral:rRNA from 1 species